GUGGGGAAUUUUGGACAAUGGGCGCAAGCCUGAUCCAGCAAUGCCGCGUGCAGGAAGAAGGCCUUCGGGUUGUAAACUGCUUUUGUACGGAACGAAAAGGCUCUGGUUAAUACCUGGGGCUCAUGACGGUACCGUAAGAAUAAGCACCGGCUAACUACGUGCCAGCAGCCGCGGUAAUACGUAGGGUGCAAGCGUUAAUCGGAAUUACUGGGCGUAAAGCGUGCGCAGGCGGUUUUGUAAGACAGACGUGAAAUCCCCGGGCUCAACCUGGGAAUGGCGUUUGUGACUGCAAAGCUGGAGUGCGGCAGAGGGGGAUGGAAGUCCGCGUGUAGCAGUGAAAUGCGUAGAUAUGCGGAGGAACACCGAUGGCGAAGGCAAUCCCCUGGGCCUGCACUGACGCUCAUGCACGAAAGCGUGGGGAGCAAACAGGAUUAGAUACCCGUGUAGUCC
rnacentral:rRNA from 1 species